AACAGCUCAAAUUUGAAAUCUGGCUUCGGCCCGAGUUGUAAUUUGUAGAGGAUGCUUUUGGUGAGGUGCCUUCUGAGUUCCCUGGAACGGGACGCCAGAGAGGGUGAGAGCCCCGUAUAGUCGGCCACCGAUCCUCUGUAAAGCUCCUUCGACGAGUCGAGUAGUUUGGGAAUGCUGCUCAAAAUGGGAGGUAUAUCUCUUCUAAAGCUAAAUAUUGGCCAGAGACCGAUAGCGCACAAGUAGAGUGAUCGAAAGAUGAAAAGCACUUUGAAAAGAGGGUUAAAUAGCACGUGAAAUUGUUGAAAGGGAAGCGCUUGUGACCAGACUUGUGCCGGGCUGAUCAUCCAGUGUUCUCACUGGUGCACUCGACCCGGCUCAGGCCAGCGUCGGUUCUCGCAGGGGGAUAAAAGCGGCGGGAACGUGGCACCUCCGGGUGUGUUAUAGCCCGCCGCUCAAUACCCUUGCGGGGACCGAGGUUCGCGCUCUGCAAGGACGCUGGCAUAAUGGUCAUCAGCGACCCGUCUUGAAACACGGACCAAGGAGUCGAGGUUUUGCGCGAGUGUUUGGGGUGUAAAACCCGCACGCGUAAUGAAAGUGAACGUAGGUGAGAGCUUCGGCGCAUCAUCGACCGAUCCUGAUGUAUUCGGAUGGAUUUGAGUAAGAGCGUAAAGCCUCGGACCCGAAAGAUGGUGAACUAUGCCUGAAUAGGGUGAAGCCAGAGGAAACUCUGGUGGAGGCUCGCAGCGGUUCUGACGUGCAAAUCGAUCGUCAAAUUUGGGCAUGGGGGCGAAAGACUAAUCGAACCAUCUAGUAGCUGGUUACCGCCGAAGUUUCCCUCAGGAUAGCAGUGUUGUUCUUCAGUUUUAUGAGGUAAAGCGAAUGAUUAGGGACUCGGGGGCGCUAUAUAGCCUUCAUCCAUUCUCAAACUUUAAAUAUGUAAGAAGCCCUUGUUACUUAAUUGAACGUGGGCAUUCGAAUGUACCAACACUAGUGGGCCAUUUUUGGUAAGCAGAACUGGCGAUGCGGGAUGAACCGAACGCGGGGUUAAGGUGCCAGAGUGGACGCUCAUCAGACACCACAAAAGGCGUUAGUACAUCUUGACAGCAGGACGGUGGCCAUGGAAGUCGGAAUCCGCUAAGGACUGUGUAACAACUCACCUGCCGAAUGUACUAGCCCUGAAAAUGGAUGGCGCUCAAGCGUCCCACCCAUACCCCGCCGUCA
rnacentral:rRNA from 1 species